rnacentral:tRNA from 1 species
GCCCGCUUGGCACAGCGGUAAUGCGCCUCACUAGUAUUGUUUAAAAUACUACUAAGGAAGCUAUGAGGAGAUGACUGGUUCGACUCCAGUAGUGGGCA